rnacentral:lncRNA from 1 species
GAAUCCGGGGGAAUGUAGUCCCUCCGUGUCAGGGACCCGAGACAUGCGCUGGUUCUUCUAGGACUACAUUUCCCAGGGCGCUUCGCGCCCCGCCCCGGCGCCCCACCCACGGCCGCGCGCGAUGGUACCACCAGGCGAGGGCGGCUCUCGCGCGGGCCGCCGGGAGUUGUAGUUUUCUUUGGGAGCUGCGGGGCCUGGCGCCGGGGCCGGGGCGGAAGAAAGACUACAAGUCCCAGGGGGCGCGGCGCCACCGCCUGAGGGCGGGGUGUACGAAAGAGAAACCCGGAGGGCGCCGGGGACUGGGCCGGGGUCUGCAGGGCUCAGCUGAGCCCAUGAGCUCCCAGAGCUAACCCCUGAACACCCAGGCGGGCAAAGGGCUGAUGUCGGUAGUCCCCAUCCUGGAGGGGCAGGCUCUGCGCAUCUGCUCCUGGCAUGGCGCUGCGGCACCUCGCCCUCCUGGCUGGCCUUCUCGUGGGAGUCGCCAGCAAGUCCAUGGAGAACACGGCUGCAAUGAUCCCCCCGCCACAGUCCUCAGUACGGAAGCCGCGCUACGUCAGGCGGGAGCGGCCCCUGGACAGGGCCACGGAUCCCGCUGCCUUCCCGGGGGAGGCCCGUAUCAGCAAUGUCUGACCUGGAGGCCGAGACCACGCCACGCACUUGGCGGCAGGGACCCGGAGGCCGACCCCUUGGCGGGAACCAGCACAAAGUGUUGGCAUCGCCCGGCGCCCGGGACAGUCCUGGGCACAGCCUCGGCUCUGAGUCCCUCCGCCUCCCAGCGACGGACGCCAAAGGGUCCCGGGCCGCCUGAGGCUCCUCCCCACCACAGCCAUCUCGUUUAUCGGACCAGGAGCAGGCAUCCAUGAGACCUCAGAGCUUCAGAUCGAGGCCUUGGGGGGUCCGGGCCCCCCCAGGAAACACGGUGAGGCCCCAGCGCCUGCAGCCAAAGCUGGCACGAUCUAUGGGGCAGGUGCCGCUCUGCCUAGAAAAGCCAGGGGCUCUGCUGCCGUGCCCUCCAGAGCCCACAGCGGGCAGGACUCCUCCAGCACCACCACACCCAGUGGCCCGAGACCCCUCUGAGAACAGUGAGGCUGGUCCUCGUGCCGUUCCAGCCGGUGCCCGGCCAGUGGGGAGGACACAGCCUAGGAACCAGCUGCCUGAGACCAGGGUGCCUCUGGGCUGUCCUCCCGCGUGGCGGAGACCCCAAGCACGCAGCCACCCAUUUCCGGAGCUGCAGGAUAGAGCUUCCUCUUGAUCUCUGUUUUUAAGCAGAAAUUCAUUGUGCAGAAAAGUCCUCCAGAGCUCUGUGGCCCCGCUCGGAUCCGCUGGACCCCCAUGCCUGGCUGAUCCCUGCCCACGUGGGGCAGGCCCACAUCUAACCCCCACAAGUCACUGCCUCACUGCACCUGCCAAGGCUGCCCUGGCGCUGAGUCCUGGGGUCCCUCCCGGAGUUCCUGGGAGAAAGGCGCCGUCGUGGCCGCCUCCCGCACGCCAGGCCCGGGCUCCACCGUGGGUCUCAGACGCCCUGCGGCACCGGCACCGUCUGCUUUAGCAUGGGACCCCCCUCUGAGGGGUGGCCUGGCCUUCGGGGUCCCCACGCUCCUUUGCGAAGUCCACUGUGGGUGCCAUCAUGGUCUCCGGGACCUGGGCCAGCGGGAACGUGGGGGCACUGGGUGUGCUGAUAUAAAGUCGGCAUUACUCAAGCUGC